rnacentral:misc_RNA from 1 species
AACGCACGAGACCUGCGGACCUGCGGAAGGAUCAUUGCGAAUGCAAAUUGCAUAAACAAUCAUUUUAAACCACCUUGUGCAUUUGCUAUUAAUUUUAUUGUUCUUUGAACUUUAAUUUAAUAAUAGCAUGUAUUAAGCCAGUGAAUAUAAUUGGCUACCUAUUGAUAUUUGGGAUGGAGAAAACUCUUGUGUGGGUGUAACUCCUCCCAAAUAGUGCAUUAAGCACGACUAUAUUAUUAA